AUGCCGGGCAGCGAAGAUCGGCUCAGCGCUCUGCCGGACGGCGUCCUCCAGCACGUCCUCGGCUUCGUGCCGCCGAAUGACGCGGUCCGGACGAGCGUGCUCGCCGGCCGCUGGCGCCACGCCUGGAGAUCCAUCCGUCGCCUGCGCAUCAGCCCCAAGGACGGGUGGGACAGGCCCCAACAUCUGAAGGAUUUCUUGCACGCCUUGCUGCCCCCCGGCGACCAUGGUCCGAUUCUGGAAGAGGCCAAGCUGGACUUCGACGGAUUGGUGGAGGAAGACGACGCGCACGUCCAAGUUUGGAUCCGACGGAUUUUGUCGGGCCAAGCUCAGGUGCUCAACGUCUCCUUCAUCAGACUGGGAAACCCUCCUCUGGUCUCCCGGCAUUUGAGAAAACUGGAGCUCACUGAUACGGCUUUAGAAGCAAACAUUCUCGAUCUCGCAAGCUGCCCGGCACUGGAGGAUCUGAUCAUGGCGUCCUGUAUAUUAUCCCUUUGCAAGAUCUCGUCCCAGUCGGUGAAGCGUCUCAGCAUCAGCGGCUGUGAUUUCCUCUGUGAUUGCCGGCCUAGGAUAGCAAUCCCCAGCCUCGUCUGGCUGCUGCUUGACUCUUUCGGCGGUAACGUUCCUUUGCUUGGAAGCAUGCCUUCACUGAAAACAGCACUUGUGAGGCCUGCAGCAUACUCGAGUGAUUGCUGCAAAGGAGGUGAGCUGGGGCAGUGCUGUGGCAGCUGUGCAGAGUGUACCGGUGACGAUGACCAUAGCGGCCGCUGCGUGCUUCUUGGAGGUUUGUCGGCUGCUGUGAAUUUGGAGCUGGUAGCUCACGCUGGAAUGGAAAUGUCGUCUGACGACGAAAAAGAUUUCAUUAAGUGCGAAUACUGUGAAGACCAGCGCGGCCUGUGCGAUAGAAAUUUCCUUGUUGAUGAUAGGCGCUUCAGCAUCAAGCUGGAUGAGACCUUCGAAGUGGAUACACGCAUCCCCUGCCAUGCAAGAAUUUUUGUCUUGGAUAAGAUAGGUUUCAGUGCUAUGAAAACUAUGGAGAUGAUAUUGAAGGUAAUAGAGACAUCUGGGUCGAUGUGCAGACGCCUCCAGUUCUACCAUUAUCUUAUUUUUGGAAGAGAUUUGAGGUGGUGUCCUACAUUUAGUAACUUGAAGACAUUGUUCCUGAAUGACUGGUGUGUGGCUAUUGACUUCCGUGCACUACUUUGCAUUCUCGAGCAUUCACUAGUUCUUGAGAAGCUCACUCUUCAACUAUGUAAGAGACAGGAAUUUAUAACUGUGCUGGCAGGUAACUGCUAUCCACUGGAAAAAUUACCUGCAAUAUCCGAACACCUUAAUGCUGUGGAAAUCAGAUGUAGAGAUAUUGAUGGGAGGGUUUGCAGGAUUUUAAAAUUCUUGAGUCGAUUUGUCAGUGUCACGCAGAUUAACAUCAAACUGACUGCGCAACUGUCCACAUGCUUCAGUUUCGAAACAUGGCUCUCGCCCUCCCUGGCAAAUGGUGAUGAUUAUUCAUGA
rnacentral:rRNA from 1 species